CUCUUUCUGAUUGAGUGUAAGCUGCUAUAUGAAAGGAUCCACAAGAUGAAUAAUUAAAGGGGACCUCUGAUCAACAGCCAGCAAGGAACUGAAUCCCUCAGACCCACAACUCACAAGAAACUGAAGUUGAAGCAGAUUCUACCUCAGUCAAGCUUCAGGUGCCCAGCUGGAUUGGUAGAGGAGACCAACCACACCCUCUGCAGCACAGCACCUGGAGAGGAACUGCUGCCAUGACCAUAGAGGACACCCUCUGGAUACAAUGCCAGACUUGAUGUGGGACUGACCAACCUAUGGACCCCAGGCACCACCACCCAGACCUGCUCAGCACCUGAAACUUUUCUAUCUCCUCUUCACUCUUGAUGUAGACAUAUCUUCAAGUCAUCUUCUCCAGGCGACACGAGCCUUAAGAGCAUCUUUGUACCCAUCAGGAACGAGUACACAGAGGCUGUGCAACCCUGGAGGCUGCAACCUUUUAUGAAAAAUAAGCUCUCCAUUCCAAAUUUACAAACCUCAUCAUUCUUCAGUUGACAACACUGAGGCUGCUACCUCCCCUGUGGCUGGGAGCAAGAUGAGCCCCAGAUGUGUUUCCAAGUGAGUCUGAUUGGGACAGGAGCCGACGUGGGACUUGGAGGCUGGAGAUGGGAGCAGCAUUCACAGCCAUGGAGAGAGAACUGUUCACUGCUACCAUCCACACUUCCGGGCCCCUUCAGCAGCAGGGUGACAAGGAAGAGGGAAAUCGACUUGGAAAAGAGGGGACCUCUGACCCAAGAGUUUGGUCAAUGCAUAUGUUGGCAGCCAACUGCACAUAGCACCAAAUACGAACUUCAAAUAGAAGAAAGCCGCAUUUGGAAGAAAGCUCAUGCACAGACUGUAAAUAUUUCAGAGCAGAUUGUGUCUCUGUAGAUUAAGUAAGUUGUGAAAGUCUGAACCUCUGCCAAAAUGUUAAGACCUUGACCUUUACAUCUCUGAGUUUCUAUCUGUCAUUUUUCC
rnacentral:lncRNA from 1 species